GACGAACGCUGGCGGCGUGCUUAACACAUGCAAGUCGAACGGAAAGGCCCUGCUUUUGUGGGGUGCUCGAGUGGCGAACGGGUGAGUAACACGUGAGUAACCUGUCCUUGACUUUGGGAUAACUUCAGGAAACUGGGGCUAAUACCGGAUAGGAGCUCCUGCUGCAUGGUGGGGGGUGGAAAGUUUCGGCGGUUGGGGAUGGACUCGCGGCUUAUCAGCUUGUUGGUGGGGUAGUGGCUUACCAAGGCUUUGACGGGUAGCCGGCCUGAGAGGGUGACCGGCCACAUUGGGACUGAGAUACGGCCCAGACUCCUACGGGAGGCAGCAGUGGGGGAUAUUGCACAAUGGGCGGAAGCCUGAUGCAGCAACGCCGCGUGCGGGAUGACGGCCUUCGGGUUGUAAACCGCUUUCGCCUGUGACGAAGCGUGAGUGACGGUAAUGGGUAAAGAAGCACCGGCUAACUACGUG
rnacentral:rRNA from 1 species